GCUCCUGAAAAGGAAUCCCAGAUGAAGACAAAUCAGACUGGAUCAGAACAUCAGGUCCAUGUUGGACAGACUGAAGAUCCUGGAUCUAAAAAGAGCAGCAGGAAGUCGACUGAACAGAACUGAUGCUGCAGAAUCCCACAGAGGGACUCUGGGACUGACACCAUCUGGACCUGCAGCCUUGUUCCGGUUCAGCCUCUCCAGCUGCGUCUUCACUGCUAGACACAGACAAGUUGGAGGUGGAGGCAGCAGCGUCUCCUAACGUGGUUGGAGACAAACUGGUGGAAGCAGGAGAGUCCAUGACUGAGGUGGAACAUCUGAGGUCUGACAGGAAAGCUGUGGGUCAGAGGAGGAUCAGAUAUCAGUUUGGAUGGAGACGGGAGAGGAUGAUGACGAUGAUGAAGAGCUUGUUCCUGGACUGAACCUGUUGAAGAAUGUGUUCAGCUCAUUUGCUCUGUCCAGAAAAUAAUGUUUAAAAACAGUCAUGGUAGCAUGUUUUUAUGUAAUAAUGAGUCUGUAAUGGUUGGAAUGAAGAAGAUAUGCUGCAUAAUCUGAUGUCAUUACAUAGAGUAUUGUGGCUCAGUGCAAAAACACAUUUUGUUGGUUUCUGAAGAGUAAAAAUUGAACAAAUGUGUAGAUUUAGUUUAUAUUUCACAGUCAUCACAAUGCUAAAGAAAAGUCUCACAACAGUGAAAAUCAUGGUGUUUAUUUACAAGACAGGAAGCGGGAGGAAGAUAUUUAAAAAUGUAAUAUAUUUCACAGUGUCAGGUUAUUUCUAUGUAUUAUGAUGUCAUGGUGAAUUUUUGGCCUUAUUGUUUUCUGUUUUAUACUUGUGUAUAACUUUCACUUGAUUUGUGAAAACAUGGAAAGUAAUUAAGCUGAUCAUUGAGUAAAAUAACAUUAAGUUGUAAGCAAAUUCAAUAAAAGCUUUUUUCCCAUCA